UGUAUAUAUUGCGUCGUGUGAGAGUUUUUCUAAAUACGCGUCUCUAACAGAGAUUAGAUCAGCGAUAAUAAUUGAUUUGUACGGAGAAUCUUUCCCCGUCCUUCCUAAUCGUCAGAGUUAUAGAUUAACUAGUCGCUAUGAAUAAGAAUCAGCGUAAGGCUAGGAUACCAUUGGAGUUUAUUAAUGCAAAUUAAUGGGAGAACGCGCAUCCUUUUGUAGGAUCCCGUGGAGCUUGUGAGAAUGUGCUGGAUAGCCCCGAUUGAGGCAUAGCCAGUGAUAUUGAUAAGACUCGAUUAUUUUACUGCUAAGU